rnacentral:rRNA from 1 species
UAAAGAAUAUUGCGCAAUGGGCGAAAGCCUGACGCAGCCAUGCCGCGUGUGUGAAGAAGGCCUUAGGGUUGUAAAGCACUUUCAGUGGCGAAGAAAAGUGAGGGGUUAAUACCCCCGCUCUUUGACGCUAACCACAGAAGAAGGUCCGGCUAACUCCGUGCCAGCAGCCGCGGUAAUACGGAGGGACCGAACGUUAAUCGGAAUUACUGGGCGUAAAGCGCACGUAGGCGGUUCGUUAAGUGGGAUGUGAAAGCCCUAGGCUCAACCUAGGAAUUGCAUCUCAAACUGACGGGCUAGAGUGUAGUAGAGGGAGGUGGAAUUUCCUGUGUAGCGGUGAAAUGCGUAGAUAUAGGAAGGAACACCAGUGGCGAAGGCGGCCUCCUGGACUAACACUGACGCUGAGGUGCGAAAGCGUGGGGAGCAAACAGG